rnacentral:rRNA from 1 species
ACGGGGCCGCACAAGCGGAGGAGCAUGUGGUUUAAUUCGAUGAUACGCGAGGAACCUUACCUGGGCUCGAACGUAAGAUGACUGUAGGUGAAAGCUUACAUCUCUUCGGAGCAUUUUACGAGGUGCUGCAUGGUUGUCGUCAGCUCGUGCCGUGAGGUGUCGGGUUAAGUCCCAUAACGAGCGCAACCCCUACCUUUAGUUGCCAUCAGGUUAAGCUGGGGACUCUAAAGGAACUGCCUACGCAAGUAGUGAGGAAGGCGGGGAUGACGUCAAAUCAGCACGGCCCUUACGUCCAGGGCUACACACGUGCUACAAUGGCCGAUACAGAGGGCAGCUACCUGGUGACAGGAUGCAAAUCUCCAAAGUCGGUCUCAGUUCGGAUCGGAGUCUGCAACCCGACUCCGUGAAGUUGGAUUCGCUAGUAAUCGCGCAUCAGCCAUGGCGCGGUGAAUACGUUCCCGGGCCUU